CACCACGAACCCAACCGCGCUGGGCGGGGACUUGGCAGGCUGGCGGCCGCUUCCUCCGGUUUCCCACGCUGUCCUUCCCUAGCUGACCCUCCCGAGAAGGCUUUCCUGCGAGGCUGGAAGAGGAGUGGCACGGAGGACUUUCCUUACAAGCGCAGAUGUAGCCCAAACGUUUGGAAAGAGAAAAAUGCUUAAGAAAAGACCGUGUCCUCUUCAGAAGGAAUAGCAUAGAAUUGUAUAGUUCCUGACCAAACUUUGUGAAAAACAGAUGGGGCCUAUUGUGCCAUCAUGGAGCAUGAGGAUCAUCGGUUUUCAGAGAUCAGCAGUGCUAUACUGUAGCAGUGUAACACACAGCAUUAGUUACCCAUUCUUCUUAUCCCUCAGAGCGCUCUGUGUGCCACAGCCAACUUAAAGUGACACCAUAUACCAAAUAUACAGGAUAAAGAUUCAGAACCUCUGACCUCUGGCUUCAUUUUAUCCAACUUGACUUGGGAUGUACUGAUUCCGAAGACAUAUGCUUUCUCUGUGUAUCCUUUUAUUGUGACUAUUUACAUAGUCUUCCUGUGUAGUUUUGGGUGGCCUGGAACCUACUGCACUAACCAGGCAGGCCGACCUUGCAUUCACAGAUCUGCCUACCUCUGCCUUCAGAGUGCUGAGAUUGAAGUUUGUGCCCCCAAGCCUCGCCCAGCUGUUUCUUUUACCAUUGCUGUGGUAAAAUAUUCUGAAACAAAGCAACUUGAGGAAUAAAGGGUUUAUUUUCACUCACAGUUCAAGGGGGCAGCAGCUGCAAGCAGCUGAUCAUGUGACAUCUGCGGUCAGGAGAAAUCAGUGAGGGCCUGCCUGCCCGUGCUCCUCUCCCUAAGUCCAGGAUUCAGUUAGGGAUGGUACUACUUAUAGUGAAGGGUCAUGCUCAGAGGCCCAUCUCCCAGGCGACUCUAGACUUUUCUCAAGUUAAUGACACUAACCAUCAUAUGCUUUAAAAAGAAAAAAAUAUAUCAAUCUAAGUCUUUGUGGGGUGGGGGGAGUUUGAGACAGGGUUUCUCUGUAUAGUCCUGGCUGUCCUGGAACUCACACUGUAGACCAGGCCUAGUCUUCAGCUCACAGAGAUCCUCCUACCUCUGCCUCCCGAGUGCUGGGAUUAAAGGCGUGCGCCACCACUUAAUAAAAAAUCUAAUCGAGAUCUUGGGCUUCUCCUUUCUGGCUUGUUUAAUUCUUCCCUAUUUGCUGAUUUAUGUAUUUCCUUAUGUUCUUUUUGAUUGUGUCUCACUACGUCACCCAGAAAGGCCUGGAACUCAAGUCCCUCCUGCCUCAGCUUUCCAAGCACUAGGACAGGCGUGCCCCACCAGGCCUGGCCUCAUUUAUUUGUCUCUGUGUGUGUGCAAGCUGGAAAGGAGAGAGAGACAGAGACCGAGAGAGACAAAGGGAGUGCCUGUGUAGGCCAGGCUAGCUUCCGGCUGUCGGUCUUCAGUUUCCCUGUACCUUUCGAUCUUUGCCCAGUAUCCUCCUCCCUGUCUCCUCUCUUCCUGUCUGCUUCUGUCUUUACCUGCCGCCCAUCACGGCCAUUCUGUCUUAACUCUUAGCCGGUGUCUGUCCCUCAUACGGUCUGGUCCUUUCUGCAGCUCCUCCUCCUCUGUUCUUUUCUCUCCCCCACAGUACAGAAAUCUUUGUUCUCUUUCAUCAUCUUUUCCCCUUGAAGCUCUUUCAUUAGAAAGUAUGGGGGGGGGGGGAGCACUGUCAGACAUUUAUAAUUUUAUUAUUCAACAAGAUACUUUAUUUUUAAGAGCAGAUAAGUACUAAAAAUAGAUUUUUUUCCUCCCCAAAGACUCCCAAAGGGAUGGGGGAAAACCUUGCUCAUAGUUAGCUUGUCCCUUAAGUAGUAACUGUAAUAAUUAUUAUUUUAGUGAUUUCUGGAUUGGCCAAAGAUGACUUUGUUCACGUAGCUCAUUGCCCCUUGCUUGGAGGGUCCUUCUCAGUCCUUCAUAAUCCCAGACAGCAGCUGACAUCAAUGUAAAAAGAGAAGCUAAAAACAGUUGAGUGUGUACGCCCUGAAUUGCAUAUUCAGUUGCAAAAUCAUCAUUAUUAUUGUAAUUACAGAGGGGAGGCAUUUCAAUAAUUGUUCAAAGUGUCUUCUUGAGGAAAUAAGUAAAUCAGGGCCAGCUGUCACAAGCCAAUCUACAAUAAUGAUCCCCGUAUGUGCGUCUUCGGGAUUCAUAACAAUCUACAAUAACAAAUUUGUGCAUUCGUCUACUGUCCCUGAACAGCCUGAAAAAUAACAAACCUGUGAUCUGCUCUGAUGUCUCGCUUGAUAGUUCACUUGUAUUUUUAAACAGCAUCCUUGAAUAACCUUAGAGUCAUAAACUGCCAAACAAAAAUUGCAUCACCAAUUUAAUAACAAACAACGGUGGGUAGCCUGGCGUCCAUCCACCUGUGACAGGAUGGCCACAAACCGAGGUUUUGGAGCCAAGGGGAAGCCAGGUAGACAGAUCUGCAGACAACUGAAACUGUUCAGAAGGAAACAUCCACCAAGACAGACGUGCUUUAUUGGCUUAAAAAUUACAAACAGGAUCUGUGAAGGCAUGUUUUCAGCUUCCUUGUGAAAUCAGCCCGAAGUAGUUCAGAUUUUGCUCCUCCCAAGAUACAGCUGUGAAAUGACUAAUAGAAAUUAAGUGACAUUGCACCGGGAACUAAAUGUGCCACUUCACUGAGAACAGAAACCGUCCCCUGACAGAGGCCAUCCUCACGGAUUAAUAAUACCUAUAAGAGAUGGCACAGAGAAAGUGCUGAACUGGGCCACUCCAUAGGCAGAAAGAAAGAUUUAUCGAGGGAUCAAACUGCCAAGGCAGAGAGAAAAGCAAAAUGGUGGGAAAACAAGCAGAUUGUAUAUGAUAGUCAGCAGAAUGGGGAUCUGAGCUGACGCAGGCUGUCAGGAGUGACCCAGAACUAGAAACCUUUGCCUGAAGUCGCUGACCUUUGGGAGAACGUUAAGGGGCAAGGUCCCUGGCACACAGAAACCUCCCUAAGAGAUCUGCUUUUCUAGUGAACACAUACCUUUAGGCUUGCUCACAAUCCUUCAGUUUAUCCAGGCAAAGUCCUCCUUUUUAGGACAAUGUCACCAGCACUACCAUUUUAGAGGAAGGGGACUUUGAACCUGACAAUACCCCAGGUGCUUUGAAGAGGACCAGCCAAGCACAAGCGUGGUACAUUUACAAAGAGUGAGAGUCAUCCAAUUGCCUCCUCAAAAUGUCCCCAUAUCUCGAUAGCUUUGAAUUGUGGUUAUAUCUCUAAUUUCAUAUUCUUGAAGAACCUCCAGAAACAGAGAAAGAAAGAGGAGAAAGAAAAUUUCUUCUCACAUUGCUUUUCUCUCGCUGGGCCACUUAGGCUUUCCGAAUCCAAGUCUUGCUGGAGGCUGGGCCUGAGCCAGGCAAGAAGGGUGAAUGACCUCGAGCUGCUUCAGGACCUUGCCAGCUGCUCUGCUGCAGCCUUCUUAGGUGCUAAGAAUCAUCUUCCUCAUCACAGUUGCUCAGUAUAUUUCCAUAUUUGCACUCCCAGCUAAAAGCAAUUUAGCCAGCAUGCAGCCUUAUCUCGCUUCGGUAGUCCAAACAUUUCCCACGAAAGCAUCAGAAGGGGCAGUGACGGGCAUUUUGAAAGUUGUUUUGAGGUAUAAUUUGCAUAUUGUUAAUUGUAAAAGUAAGACAAUGAUGAAAAUAAAUGGAAAUUCCAAAA